UACGGGGGGAGCAAGCGUUGUUCGGAUUUACUGGGCGUAAAGGGCGCGUAGGCGGCGCAACAAGUCAAUUGUGAAAUCUCCGGGCUUAACUCGGAAAGGUCAACUGAUACUGCGGGGCUAGAGUGCGGAAGGGGCAACUGGAAUUCUCGGUGUAGCGGUGAAAUGCGUAGAUAUCGAGAGGAACACCUGCGGCGAAGGCGGGUUGCUGGGCCGACACUGACGCUGAUGCGCGAAAGCCAGGGGAGCGAACGGG
rnacentral:rRNA from 1 species